rnacentral:rRNA from 1 species
GAUGAACGCUGGCGGCGUGCUUAACACAUGCAAGUCGAACGAAGCACUUUAUUUGAUUUCCCUCGGGACUGAUUAUUUUGUGACUGAGUGGCGGACGGGUGAGUAACGCGUGGGUAACCUGCCUUGUACAGGGGGAUAACAGUUGGAAACGGCUGCUAAUACCGCAUAAGCGCACGGCAUCGCAUGAUGCAGUGUGAAAAACUCCGGUGGUAUAAGAUGGACCCGCGUUGGAUUAGCUAGUUGGUGAGGUAACGGCCCACCAAGGCGACGAUCCAUAGCCGACCUGAGAGGGUGACCGGCCACAUUGGGACUGAGACACGGCCCAAACUCCUACGGGAGGCAGCAGUGGGGAAUAUUGCACAAUGGGCGAAAGCCUGAUGCAGCGACGCCGCGUGAGCGAAGAAGUAUUUCGGUAUGUAAAGCUCUAUCAGCAGGGAAGAUAAUGACGGUACCUGACUAAGAAGCACCGGCUAAAUACGUG